UGGGGAAUAUUGCACAAUGGGCGCAAGCCUGAUGCAGCCAUGCCGCGUGUGUGAAGAAGGUCUUCGGGUUGUAAAGCACUUUCAGCGGGGAGGAAGGCGAUAAGGUUAAUAACCUUGUCGAUUGACGUUACCCGCAGAAGAAGCACCGGCUAACUCCGUGCCAGCAGCCGCGGUAAUACGGAGGGUGCAAGCGUUAAUCGGAAUUACUGGGCGUAAAGCGCACGCAGGCGGUCUGUCAAGUCGGAUGUGAAAUCCCCGGGCUCAACCUGGGAACUGCAUUCGAAACUGGCAGGCUAGAGUCUCGUAGAGGGGGGUAGAAUUCCAUGUGUAGCGGUGAAAUGCGUAGAGAUCUGGAGGAAUACCGGUGGCGAAGGCGGCCCCCUGAACGAAGACUGACGCUAAGGUGCGAAAGAGUGAGGUGCAAGCGGG
rnacentral:rRNA from 1 species